rnacentral:rRNA from 1 species
GACGAACGCUGGCGGCGUGCCUAACACAUGCAAGUGGAGCGACGAACCGGGCUUCGGCCCGGGGCAAAGCCGCGAACGGGUGAGUAACACGUGGGUAACCUGCCCUGAUGAUCGGGACAACCCGAGGAAACUCGGGCUAAUACCGAAUGUGCCCUCCGGCCAUAAGGCCACUGGGGAAAGGAAGCUUCGGCCUCCGCAUCGGGAUGGGCCCGCGGCCCAUUAGCUUGUUGGUGAGGUAACGGCUCACCAAGGCAAUGAUGGGUAGCUGGUCUGAGAGGACGAUCAGCCACACUGGGACUGAGACACGGCCCAGACUCCUACGGGAGGCAGCAGUGGGGAAUCUUGCGCAAUGCGCGAAAGCGUGACGCAGCAACGCCGCGGU